rnacentral:misc_RNA from 1 species
CAAUAGACAAAAAUGAGGAAAUCAACUUUUCAAGGAUUGAAGCAAAAAUAUAAGUGGAAAUAAAAAAUUAAAGAAUGGAAAUAGAAGAAAGAAACUAUUCAAAUGCAUAGAAUUCAUAAAGAUAAAAUACCAGAUAAAAUAGGUAACAGCUGGUUUGAAGUUUUCAUAUGUCAUCACAGCUGUUCUGUGGCAGACGCCAGACGCCGUAUUGUUGUCAAGUUGUGGUAAUUCAGAAAACUAAUUUAUUUUUGUCGACUGAUAAACAAGAAAGCUUUGAAUCACUUUGUUCUUUUGUUGCGGAUAUGAAUAACUCUCUAUAGAAAUAAUUUUUUUCUCUGUAUGACUAGAAUAUAAUUUUCAAAAUGAUCAUAAAAGGCUUGCAUUUAAUCCCAGUAGUGUUGUUCAUUGUUUUGCCAUCGACGUUUGUGGGAACAUACAUAUAUGCCGUGAUGAAAGGGCAUGUGGAACCAUAUUUUCCUUACAUAAGUGACGCAGGUACAAGGGCUCCAGAAAGCUGUGUAUUCGGCCAACUGAUAAAUAUGUGCUCGGUCAUGUUGGCGAUAUCUGUGUAUGUACGCUACUGUCAUGUCUACCAGUAUUGCGUUGAAUGCAAUUUUCCCAGCAAAGUGUUGACCUUGAACAAGAUCGGCGUGUGGCUUGGUCUGCUCUCCUGCUUGGGACUCAGUCUAGUGGCCAACUUCCAGGAAACAAAUGUGUUUGCCAUACAUAUUUUCGGUGCUUUCCUCUGCUUUGGUCUGGGCACGAUCUACUUUUGGCUACAGGCAAUAUGCUCUUACCACAUGACACCUUUGGUUAAUACACCUUAUGUAUCCAAUCUGCGCGCUGUGUUGGCUACAAUAUGUUCAGUCUUCUUUGUGAUAAUGGCUGGCUGUGGAAUUACUGCGCAUCUUAGAUUCCAUGGACACGAUCCGAGAAAAUGGUACCCAACAGAUGGAGGAUGGGUUUUACACGUGAUAAGCACAACUUCGGAGUGGAUAAUCGCCCUGUGCUUCUGUUCAUUUAUUCUAUCAUUCUCUAACGAGUUCAGAGAUAUAACUAUUCAUCAUCCACAGAUACAACUGAACAGGCCUGAAUUGCUGAUAGCAAACACCAACGAUGAGCCGAUUAGUUGAUCAGAGUCAGCUGACCAGCAAGUACCAAAUAGCAGUAGUGUUGUCAACAUUCUAGGAGCCCACGGCAUCACACCGACAGACGAUGCACCGAUUGUCGAUGUAUGCGAAAAUGGUGAAACUGGCGCGAAUUUUCCAAUGCCAAAGACUCGUAGCUCGCCGACUCUAGCUCUGCCUUCUCCGGAUGAGUCGUACAGCAGUCGACUCAUGUCUCUCUCCUUGUCUCUCCUUAUGGCCGCCAUUUUCCAAGCGAUCCGCCAUCUUGGUGGACUUCUCCAGGAUGUCAUCUACACGUUGCAUUGGAAUGUCGAGAAUCAGUGAUGUAUUAAAUCAGUAACCCUCAAGCUGAAUAGAUAGAAGGUAGAACCAAUCAGAGAAGGCGUUUUUAAAAAGACGGCUCCUCUGAUUGGUUCUCGUGGAAUUAAUCACGGUUAAAAUUUAACCGGUUUUUGUGCAACCGGCACUAAGUGUCCCACCCUCCAUCUUCUUACCUUAAGUAAGAAAGUAUCCUCCCCUUAGAUUUUUAGUUAAUGCUGUUUCCAAUAGUUUUCUCUUGAAAUAGAAUCCGAUUCUGCAUAUAUAUAUUUUUGGGGGUAACCUUGAAAUACGAACUCCUGUGUUAUCCCCUUUCAACGUAUUGGAAAUUAUAUCUAUGACAUUAUCUUGCUCUGCCUAUUUAAAACUAAGAAUAUGUGUUCAAACUUCAUAGUUACGGUCAGAAAAUUGUCGCAGAGUUUUACAGUAAAAUUUCAUGCCAAAAUUGUCUAGAUUAAAUUUAUUAUGUAUUUUAUUCUUAUACAAAUUGACAAUUUCCACUGAGACUGAUGAGACACUUAGUGAAAAACUAAACUGAGACUUAGUUGUGAGAAACAAAAUAUAUAUCUGUAACAACAAGUAAUAAAUUUUUAUGAUAAAUAAGUAUAGUAAUAAUGGAUAUAACAAGUAUAAUGACAAGACUUGCUUCAGGCAGUAUCAGUAUCCGUUUUGGAGUGAACCGUGGUCUAGUGAAUAGAGUGCUUGCGUAGCAGCAUAGUGAUCCCGGGCUCAAACCUUCUCAUUAUCAAAAGAUUUUUAACCAGAUCAUUCCCGUGUUAUCGGAUGGGUACGUUAAACAGUCGGUCCCGGCUGAAGUAUGACAGUCGUAAGGCCCAUUGAAUGCUUAAAUUAUAUAUUCAGGCGGUGGGACCUUCCCGCAAGGGACUCCCCACCAACAAAAGCUGUACGAAUUUACUUUUAGUAUCAGUUCUAAUUCUUUUACCCAUUUUGGAGCGGCAUUUUACUGAAAAAAUCUGCGACAGUUUACUGCCUGUACCCUAAUCCCCGUUUACUCGAUAGCAGUUUAACCGUAGUUAAUCUUAAUCCAGGAUUAAAAGAAGCAAUCGUCGCAUUUAUUAUCAUGUGUUUCAAUUGAAUCUAAUCUUGGUUUAAAUGUAAUCAAACUGCUAUUGAGCUCAAGACUAAAGUCUGAUACCAGUUUGGACUCAAGUACAAAUUCUAAAGAAUAUUUUACAUCAACUCUGUUUUUAAAUAUGCUUCUAUCAAUGAAGUUUUCACUCUAUUCAGAAUUAUUUUUGAGAAUUCAAAAGUAUUUUCACGAUUUCAAUGCAAUGCUACCUUUCAAGACUCCAUGUUCUGUGUUCGUACUAUACUUAGUAUUAUAUCUUAUACUGUGUCACCUUGAAUACUUGAUAUAUUUUCAACAAAUUCUUUCCAUCAUUAAUACUGACUUGUAUUGAUGUAUUCUUAAAAAUUCAUUAAUAAUGACUUUGCUGUAUCAUACUAAACAUGACAAGGUCUGUAGGAAUACCUUGCUAUAGACUUUGGACUUAGAUACACGUAAGAAACGAUAGAACCAUGUAGACUGAAAUUUCAAUUCUCUUUUAAUGACUGAGCGUGCUUUCUAACGUAUGACUAUGGCCCAAAACUCUAGUGAUAGUUUCUAUCUUAACGCUGACUUGUUUGUUGUAAAAUCAUAUAUAUUUCUAUCAAAUUUUGUAACUUUUGAAAUGUUACAUAAGUUGAAAUACAAUGGAAUUCUGUAUUAGUUAAGAUGUGUUUUGAUAGUGAACUAUUUGUUUAUUCAUUUUAUUAAUAUUUUGAUUAGUAUAAUUUCAUUCAAGUACCUAUUCCACUACUUGUUUCGAUACAUACUCGUAUGUAAAUUAGAUUGAUGGAAUGUGAGAGAAGAUUUACAAUAAUAAUCAUGUGAUAUAGCUACAUAAACAUUUAUGUGAAAUCUAUGUGUGAAGAUGGAUGUCAGGAAUUUUUUCUUAAUGCAAGAAUUGGAUUAUUAUUUUACAAACCGAGU